GACGGCGUCAGCCUCCGAGCGCAGCCGAAGCGUGCGGCAUUCAUAAGGGACCCAGGCAUUGCUAGGGGAAUGCUGACUAAGAGACAACAGCCCGGUGACAGCAGGAACUUCCCAGACGGCGAGGCGGCCUUCUUUUGCAUUUGACACGGAUUGGCAUCUGCAGAUAAGUCGAUGGCUAUGACCCACAGAGGGGAUGAUAGUGGGGUGCUGGGUUGGGACUCACAGGGAGGGAUUUUUGAGUCUGCUUUGGAGUUGGGGAUGUCCAAGAAGUGGCCCCUUAGGCCACACAAAAGCCAAGCGUCACUUUUGAUCACAAUGCUGAGGUGCUCAGGGCAGAGCAGUCCCGGAGGGUAUCGUGUCACUUGUCUAUUGUGCGUUCUGUGUGUUUGGCUUUCUCAUGUCUUUUACCUUAGCCCUUUGAGGGGCCUAUCAGAAACCCUGGCAUCAUUCUUAGCAUCUGCGAUCUCUGCAUUUCUUGGCCUGGCACCAAUGCCACAGGACUUUUGACUCAGGAGCUCAGGCAGGCAUCAGAAUUGCAUUUCUGUUUAGGAGCACCCAGUCAGAUGUCUUUGCAGGUCUUGUUCUGAGCUGUAUGUACCUUGCAAGGAUCCAUUAUGGCAGACUAGGGCUUGUAAGAAUGCAAAGAUAGGUAGAGGAUGCUGACUGUAGGAUUCUCAGACAUCCAUCUUUGUAGUUCUUGGAAUAAACCAUUGUCUUAGCAGGUUAUUCCUCCAGGGUUCUGGGAGCCUCAUCAGCUCGCCAUCAGUCUCAUCUCGGUCAUCUAAUCUUGCAUUCUCUCAGUCCAUGCCGUCAUUCUUCUUGCCAAGAGAUUCCUGUUGUGUCCCCCUUGUUUGUCAUGUCGUGUCCUGUGUCACGGGUGUCUGCACAUAUUUGUGCCGGAGCUGCUCUGCCCUGCUGCAUAGUCUGGUGUAAUAGGACAAAUCCUGGGGGCUUGAAAUUUGUAGUGUGGGGUGUAGUUGGAUUAUAGAUGGGAUUUGUAGAUGGACACAGGGUGCCUGGAGCAGUGAAAUUAUCCUGCAGCCCUUUGACAUUUGUCCUGACUUUCUUUCAGAUGCAGGCAGAUAAAAUCUGUGGCAGAGCACCCCAUCCUGGCUGAGGGGGUUCCUCCGAGCAGGAAGUAAAGCUGGAUAUCAGCAGUCAAGGUGCCAUCCGGCUGGCCUUUGGCAGCUGCCGAGGAGUUGCGGUGAGUCAGGGAAUAGGGAGGAGGAGCGAGGGUCCGCUCAUGUUUCAGCAAUGCCACAUCUCCCUGUCUCCCCUUAAACGAGGCACACCCUGCCACGAUGGCAUCGGCCUCCAAGCGUUGCUGAAGCUAACGGCAUUAGGAGAUGCUGUGAGGCAGCAGCCCAGUGACCGCAAGAACUUCCCAGAUGGCAAGGCGGCCUUCUUUUGCACCUGAUGCAGAUUGGCAUCCCCAGAUGUCUGAGAGAUAAGUCAAGGGCUACGACUUGCCGAGGGGGUGAAUGUGGGGUGCUGGGUUGGGACUCACCGGGAGGGGUUUUUGAGUCUGCUUUGGGGCUGAGGCUAUCCAAGUAGUGUCCCCUUAGGCCACAUAAAGGGAAAGUGUCACUUUUGAUCCCAGUGCUGAGGUGCGCAGGGUAGAGCAGUCCCAGUGUGUAUCGUGUCACUUGUCUAACGUACCUGGUGUUUAUAUGUCUCAUGUCAUGCAUCGUCUACCUUAGCCCUUUGAGGGGCCCAUCAGAAACCCUGGCAUUAUUUUUAGCGUCUGUGAUCUCUGCAUUUCUUGGCCUGGCACAAAUGCAGUAGGACUUUUGGCUCAGGAGCUCAGACAGGCAUCAGAAUUGCAUUUCUGUUUAGGAGCUUCCAGUCAGAUGUCUUUGCAGGUCUUGGUCUGAGCUGUACGUACUGCUGUGCAUCGCAAGGAUCCAUUAUGGCAGAUUAGGACUUGUAAGAAGGCCAAGAUAGGUAGAGGAUUCUGACCGUAGGAUUCUCAGAUGUCCAUCUUUGCACUUCUUUGACAAAAUCAUUCUCUUAGGAGAUACUUCCUCCCUGGUUGUCUGAGCUUCAUCACCUCACUGUCAAUCUCACCUCAGUCAUUUCAUUUUCCAUUCUCUCGGUCCUUGCAGUCAUUCUUCUUGUCAAGAGAUAGUAGUCCCUGUUGCGUCCUCAUUGUUUGUCCUGUCCCGUGUCACGGGCGUCCGCACACGUUUGUGUCGGAGCUGCUCUGCCCUGCCGCGUAGCCUGGUGUAAUAGGACACAUCCCGGGGGCUUGGAAUUUGUAAUGUGGGGUGUAGUUGGAUUCUAGAUGGUAUUCCUAGGUUGACUCUAGGAAGUUGUCUGGAGCUGUGAAGUUAUCCUGCUGCCCUUUGAACUUUGUCCUGACUCUGUUUCAGAUGCAGACAGAUAAAAUCCAUGGCAGAACUCCCUAUCCCAGGAAGUAAAGCCAUCUAGCAGCAGUCAAGGCAAAGUGGUCGAGGCAGUCCACUUUCAGUCCAUGCCAGCUGAGGAUGCCCGAUGCCAGGUACCUUCCAGGCAGACUCUGGAGUCAAAUCAAGAUUUGAGGUACCGCGAGGAGCUUCGUAGGCAAAGUUUGGAGAGAGCGCCACCGAAGCACACGAGACCGUCUCAACGUCCACGUCCCACCGGGGAUGGAUUUUGUCAGCUCGUCAUCCAAAAGCUAAGUGUCGGGGUCCAUAGUUGGGAGAAGGGGAAAAACCUUUACUAUCACAGGAGGCCAUGUGAUGUUAGCUUAGCGGAGCAAUCUGUAGCGGAACAGGUCCCUCGGAUGUAAAGGGAGAGGGUUUCUCCUCGGCCUCACCAGAGCCUUUGCCGGGCAGGGCAGUUCCGACCAGUCUCCACGUUCUCGCGAACUUUGCGUCGUCAGCCUCCUUCGACCCUCGACAUCGUCGUGGAUCUUUCUCCCGAGGAGCUCGCCUUCGGGUCCGGAGCUAUAGCCACCAUCACCCGGCAGUCUUUGCUUCCUUCUCUAGGCCCACCGAGCCUCUCGAGCAUCCUCUUAACUGCUUUGGCACUAACUUCUUUUAAGGAGUUGCAUUUCAUCGUCACACGCUAUUGCCAUAGGACUCGCUUUACUUUGGCAUCUUUGGCCUCUGGCUCAUCUUGCGCUAGGAAUCUUGAGUCCAUAAGGUGAAACUGCUAGGCAGUUUCCACCCGUGUCUGUGUUAUGUCACCUGUGUCUGUGUUACGUUGUCUACGUUACGGUGUCUGCGUUAUGUAGUCUGUGUCCAUCGUCUUCCGUGUCGUAGGCCUUUGUUACAUCUCGACGCCAUAUCGGCCUCAUUCCGUGCCGUAUCGGCCAUAUUUUACUCGCGUUCCUUCCCGGACAUCGCUUAUUCUGCCAUCUCUCUUUUGAGACACAAAGAAGUACACAAGAGGUUCUCAUCAGUCUUCCGUCUCAGCUGCGGUAGUGCCUUUUUCUUCCUGUGCUAUUCUCUUGGGCUUCUAUAGGGAGUGUCUUACACCCUCCUCAUGUGACUGCCAUAGUUCUGUAGGUUCCAUCUUCUCAAAGGGUACGGUGCUCAAGAAUUAAUCUUCCAGAGAGUUAUCCGAAGUCCUGGUUUACAUUGUAUGUGCUUAUGUUGUAUGUACCUAUGUUGGCUUAUAUUGUAUGUAAUUAUAUUGUAUGAAUCUAUGUUGGCUUAUAUUGUAUGUAAUUAUAUUGUAUGAAUCUAUGUUGGCUUAUAUUGUAUGUGCUUAUAUUGUAUGAAUCUGUUGGCAUAUAUUUGCAUGUACUUGUAUGGUAUGUAAUUCUGUUGGCUUAUAUUGUGCGUACUUGUAAGGUAUGUAAUUCUGUUGGCUCAUAUUGUGCGUAUUUAUAUUGCGCCACUUACGGUCGGAGCUGCCCUGCCCUGGCACGUAGUCACAGUUAGGUAGAACAGUUAUAAAAACUUUACCAUUCAUCUAUCUUCUAUGGGAUUUUGGGUAGAAAACUUAGGGGCCCGGAGCAGGGACAAGUCCUAGCCGUCAGCCACUCGUUGACCACCUCCCGUUGUCUCACAGGUCCCCGAGGCGACCGAUUUUCCUGGAAUCUACCAUUUGACGUGAAGGAGCGGCAGCCAGAUGACGCGUCGAAGCACGUUCAGGGUUUCAAGUAGGGCUGCAGCGAGCGUGUAAGUCGAAGAGCGUGCGAGUCUGCGUGAGUGCGAGCGACCGUCUGCGUCCGCUUGUCUCUGCGUGUGCGAGUGUAUGCUGACCAGAUCUAACCUUGUGUGUGUGACGUUUGCCUUUCAGGUUUUUCAACACAUUUUAGAAUUUAGAAUAAAAAAUCCCCAGCCGGGGGUUUUUAUUUUCCCCCCCCGGCUGGGUUUUUUUUCCCUCGGUCCCGGCCGGUCCGCGAGGCGACGUUCAUCGCCAAAGUUUGGGGGCGGACCGUCCCGGGACCGGGGUUUUUGUCAGGCAGGAGGAUUUUUUUGGAGGCUCCCGGGAACCACGUUCCCGAGGAGCGGCACGAAUGCGUGCCGGGGGUCAGCAGGGCGGUUGAGGUGCGAGCGAGGGUGGGUUUGUGUGUAAGCUGAAGGAGAGCUGUGGGUGUGUGUGUUGAUGACUGGUUCUAACCUUGUGUGUAUGACUUUUUCCUUUCAGGUUUUUCAACACAUUUUAAAAUUUAGAAUAAAAAAUCCCCAGCCGGGGGGGUUUUUUUUUUUUCCCCCCCGGCUGGGUUUUUUUUUCCUCGGUCCCGGCCGGUCAGCGAGGCGACGUUCAUCGCCAAAGUUUGGGGGCGGACCGUCCCGGGACCGGGGUUUUUGUCAGGCAGGAGGAUUUUUUUGGAGGCUCCCGGGAACCACGUUCCCGAGGAGCGGCACGAAUGCGUGCCGGGGGUCAGCAGGGCGGUUGAGGUGCGAGCGAGGGUGGGUUUGUGUGUAAGCUGAAGGAGAGCUGUGGGUGCGUGUGUUGAUGACUGGUUCUAACCUUGUGUGUAUGACUUUUUCCUUUCAGGUUUUUCAACACAUUUUAAAAUUUAGAAUAAAAAAUCCCCAGCCGGGGGGGUUUUUUUUUUUUCCCCCCGGCUGGGUUUUUUUUUCCUCGGUCCCGGCCGGUCAGCGAGGCGACGUUCAUCGCCAGAGUUUGGGGGCGGACCGUCCCGGGACCGGGGUUUUUGUCAGGCAGGAGGAUUUUUUUGGAGGCUCCCGGGAACCACGUUCCCGAGGAGCGGCACGAAUGCGUGCCGGGGGUCAGCAGGGCGGUUGAGGUGCAAGCGAGGAUGGGUUUGCGUGUAAUGUGAAGGAGGUGUUCACAACGGAUGUGUGUUGCGUUCUGUGUGCUGCCUUUGUUUUGGGGUUCCUGUAACAAUAAAUCCAAGUGUAAUGAAAGUAGAAACAAGGUUAUCAUCUUGUGUUAAUAUGUGUUUGGCUUAUGUUUGGUGUUGCCGUGUAUUUGCAUUUCUGUGUAUUGCUCUGUAUGUAAAUUGGACUUUUACCAGCAUGUGUACGGAUUGUAUGUGUACUUGCAUUUGUAUACACUCUUUCCCUGUGUUUUGCUCAAGUGUAAAUAGGAAAAUUCAUUCAAUAAAGUUGAAUCAACCUGAAUAAAGAUUCCCCCACCCCCCCCCCUUGGCUCCUGUCUUUAUUUGGUGUGGUUUAGUAAUUUUUUUCCACUGCCCUUCUUCCUUUUACCUGUUGCUUUACUUUUCUGUUGCUAACUUCAUUUCUGUCUGUCUCUAACUGUGUGUUUGUUUUUCAGUGCCUGUAGCUCUGUGCUUCUGUAAAUGUUUCCCUGCUUUGUUUUCCCUCUGUUUCUGUAUUGUACUAUUUCUCUCUCACUAUUUUUCUUCUCUUUAGCCUUAACUGUAGCUUUUUGUUCUUCUUUUCUACAGUCACUCAUUCUUUUCCCCCUUAUCUCCCCUUUUUCACUCUUUUUUGGUCUUACUCCUUUUCAUUUUCACUUUAACCCUAACCAGUCUUCCUUUUCCCUCUGAGUUGGGUCUUAACUCUCUUGCUCUCUUGUUUUCACUCUUUCUCUCUUCACUCUCUCUUCUUUCACUCCUGUUCUCUCCCUUCUCA